rnacentral:rRNA from 1 species
GGUGAGCUACCCCGAGACAGCCUAUAUUAAUCUAGGGCUAACCCGUCUCUGUGGCAAAAGAGUGGGAAGAGCUCCGGGUAGAAGUGAAAGACCUACCGAACCUGGUGAUAGCUGGUUGACUGAGAAAUGGAUAGAAGUUCAGCCUCGUACACCCCAAACCAAGAAAUGUUAUCGCCAAGAUAUUUAGGGAAACGUACGAGAGUUAGUUGAAAGGGGUACAGCCCUUUUAACAAAGGAUACAACCUUUACAGGAGGAUAAAGAUCAUAAUGUAUAAGAUAUACUGUUCUAGUGGGCCUGAAAGCAGCCACCUAAACAGAAAGCGUUAAAGCUCGGACAGAGAGAAGUUUAUUAUACUGAUAAAAAAUCUUAUUCCCCUAACUAUAUCAGACCAACCCAUGCCCACAUGGAAGAGAUUAUGCUAAAAUGAGUAAUAAGAAGACCCGCUCUUCUCCCAGCACAAGUGUAAACCAGAUCGGACCAACCACUGGAGCUUAACGAACCCAACCCAAGAGGGUAGUGUGACUAAGAGAAAACACGAGAAGACCUCACAUUAAUUGAUCGUUAACCCCACACUGGAGUGCUAUUUUAAGGGAAAGACUAAAAGAAGAGGAAGGAACUCGGCAAACACAAGCCUCGCCUGUUUACCAAAAACAUCGCCUCCUGCAACUAAACUGAGUAUAGGAGGUCCAGCCUGCCCAGUGACUACGGGUUCAACGGCCGCGGUAUCUUGACCGUGCAAAGGUAGCGCAAUCACUUGUCUCUUAAAUAGAGACCUGUAUGAAUGGCUAGACGAGGGCUUAACUGUCUCCCCCUUCCAGUCAGUGAAAUUGAUCUAUCCGUGCAGAAGCGGGUAUAAAUAUACAAGACGAGAAGACCCUUUGGAGCUUAAGGUACAAAUUCACCCACGUUAAACGACUCUGUAAAAGGCAAGAACUUAGUGGCAAUGAAAUUUUACCUUCGGUUGGGGCGACCGCGGAGGAAAAACGAGCCUCCGAGUGGACUGGGCCAAACCCCUGAAGCCAAUAGAAACAUCUAUAAGCCGCAGAACAUCUGACCAAAAAUGAUCCGGCUAAAGAGCCGAUCAACGAACCAAGUUACCCAAGGGAUAACAGCGCAAUCCCCUCCCAGAGCCCAUAUCUACGAGGGGGUUUACGACCUCGAUGUUGGAUCAGGACAUCCUAAUGGUGC